CCUACGGGGGGCAGCAGUGAGGAAUAUUGGUCAAUGGACGAGAGUCUGAACCAGCCAAGCAGCGUGAAGGAGGAAUGUCCUGAGGGUUGUAAACUUCUUUUAUAAGGGAAUAAAACGAGGCACGUGUGCCUUUUUGCAUGUACUUUAUGAAUAAGGAUCGGCUAACUCCGUGCCAGCAGCCGCGGUAAUACGGAGGAUGCGAGCGUUAUCCGGAUUUAUUGGGUUUAAAGGGAGCGUAGAUGGGCUGUUAAGGCAGUUGUGAAAGUUUGCGGCUCAACCGUAAAAUUGCAAUUGAAACUGGCAGUCUCGAGUAAAGUUGAGGUAGGCGGAAUGCGUGGUGUAGCGGUGAAAUGCUUAGAUAUCGCGAAGAACCCCGAUUGCGAAGGCAGCUUACUGAACUGUGACUGACGUUGAGGCACGAAAGUGUGGGUAUCAAACAGGAUUAGAUACCCGUGUAGUC
rnacentral:rRNA from 1 species